ACAAAAUGUAGCCAUUCCAACUCAUUUUCCCAAAUAAUAUAGCUAACCAAAUGGUUCGGCAAUUCAUUUGGGCUCAGAGAAAUUGUUACCGUCCUGAAAGAAAAACAACGCAGGCAUUCGAAUUUGUUCGAAAUUUCGAAAAUUGUAUGGAUCGUCACAUACCCCUGGAGGAGGAGGAGGUUGUGUUGGUGGUGCUAGAGAGAGCCUUACACAAAAACUUACAACUAAUGAUGCGUUAACUUAUUUGAAGGAAGUUAAGGAUAUGUUCCAAGAUCAAAGUAAAAAACAUGACAAGUUCCUUGAUGUCAAGAAAUAUUUCAAAGUAAAUGAAUUUCUCUUGUUAAGAUUAACUUGUGCACAUCGGCCGUGAAUGGAUCUUUUCUUUGUAACUUUAUAUUAAUUUGUUUCUGGCAGAAUCGAUUCAAUUGGCUUGAUAAUGAAGGUGAGAGAGUUUUUCAAA